rnacentral:rRNA from 1 species
AGAGUUUGAUCAUGGCUCAGGAUGAACGCUAGCUACAGGCUUAACACAUGCAAGUCGAGGGGAAACGACAUCGAAAGCUUGCUUUUGAUGGGCGUCGACCGGCGCACGGGUGAGUAACGCGUAUCCAACCUGCCCACCACUUGGGGAUAACCUUGCGAAAGUAAGACUAAUACCCAAUGACGUCUCUAGAAGACAUCUGAAGGAGAUUAAAGAUUUAUCGGUGAUGGAUGGGGAUGCGCCUGAUUAGCUUGUUGGCGGGGUAACGGCCCACAAGGCGACGAUCAGUAGGGGUUCUGAGAGGAAGGUCCCCCACAUUGGAACCUGAGACACGGUCCAAACUCCUACGGGAGGCA